rnacentral:rRNA from 1 species
UACAGAGGUCUCAAGCGUUGUUCGGAUUCAUUGGGCGUAAAGCGCACGUAGGCGGACCGCUAAGUCGGAUGUGAAAGCCCUCGGCUUAACCGAGGAAGUGCAUUCGAAACUGACGGUCUUGAGUAUGGAAGAGGGUCGCGGAAUUCCCGGUGUAGCAGUGAAAUGCGUAGAUAUCGUGAGGAAUACCAGAGGCGAAGGCGGCUACCUGGACAAUUGCUGACGCUCAGGCACGAAAGCGUGGGGAGCAAAAGGG